rnacentral:rRNA from 1 species
UACGAGGGGUGCAAGCGUUGCUCGGAAUUAUUGGGCGUAAAGGGUAGGUAGGUGGUCUCAUUUGUCUGGGGUGAAAGCCUUGAGCUUAACUCAAGAAGUGCCCCAGAAACGGUGAGACUCGAGUCCUGGAGAGGGUCGUGGAAUUCCCGGUGUAGCGGUGAAAUGCGUAGAGAUCGGGAGGAACACCAGAGGCGAAGGCGGCGACCUGGACAGGUACUGACACUCAAGUACGAAAGCGUGGGGAGCAAACAGG